CAUCAUGGAACAGAAAGGCUUGAAGGCCAAAGUUAGCUGCUUGAGCAUGUCCCAUGUGUAUCAAGUUAGUGCAAACUUUCAAACCAUCCAGCAAGAGGCUAGGCAGGGAAAGAGAACAAGCUAACACACUUCAGCAGUGCCAGGAAGACGUGGGGGUGCAGAAGCAGCACAGCCAGACCAGCCCAUGUCCUACUAUAGUCCUGUAAGGACAGAAGGAACAAGACCUGUACCCCCUUGGCUGAGGUGCCAUGGCCAGACCCUGCCUGAGUCUGCUGCUCCUGGUAGCCACUGUGACCCUUGUGUCCAGAGGUAUCCAUGCCUGGGGCAGGUCAAAGGUGGUGAGGACGUUCCAAGACAUUCCUGAAACUUAUGUCUAUGUGCAGCAGGCGCUAUGGUAUGCCAUGAAAGAGUAUAACAAGGCCAGCAAAGACAAGUACAUCUUCAAGGUCAUAAAGGUCUUGAAAUCCCAGGAGCAGGUCACAGAGAGUUUAGACUACUUUCUUGAGGUCAAAAUUGCCCGAACAAUGUGCAAGAAAAUUUCAGGAGAAAAUGAAUAUUGCCUAUUACAAAAGGAUCCCCAAAUCCAAAAGGCUGGCUGGCAUGAGAUACGGCUAAGCAAAAAUAAUGGCAGAUUAGUGGUUCCUGAAAAUUGCCCAUACAUGUGCAAAUAAAAUACAUCUUCAUAUUCUGAUGAAUAGUAGGCACCACAGCAGAAUACCAAACAUGAAUGGAUGGCUACAUCUAGAGAAUGUUUUUUUGCACCUUUAUUGUUGCAACCAAACCUUGGAAAUUUGAGUUCACUAUGCUGAAGAAACACUGUGAAGAGGUCUAAUUAUCUUCUAGCAUAUUCAACUGCUCUCACUUCCAUUUAAAGAAGCAAAUACACUUGCAAAACAUUUAA